AUUGAACGCUGGCGGCAGGCCUAACACAUGCAAGUCGAGCGGAUGAAGUGAGCUUGCUCCUGGAUUCAGCGGCGUACGGGUGAGUAAUGCCUAGGAAUCUGCCUGGUAGUGGGGGAUAACGUCCGGAAACGGGCGCUAAUACCGCAUACGUCCUGAGUGAGAAAGUGGGGGAUCUUCGGACCUCACGCUAUCAGAUGAGCCUAGGUCGGAUUAGCUAGUUGGUGGGGUAAAGGCCUACCAAGGCGACGAUCCGUAACUGGUCUGAGAGGAUGAUCAGUCACACUGGAACUGAGACACGGUCCAGACUCCUACGGGAGGCAGCAGUGGGGAAUAUUGGACAAUGGGCGAAAGCCUGAUCCAGCCAUGCCGCGUGUGUGAAGAAGGUCUUCGGAUUGUAAAGCACUUUAAGUUGGGAGGAAGGGCAGUAAGUUAAUACCUUGCUGUUUUGACGUUACCAACAGAAUAAGCACCGGCUAACUUCGUG
rnacentral:rRNA from 1 species